AUCAUGGCUCAGAUUGAACGCUGGCGGCAUGCCUUACACAUGCAAGUCGAACGGCAACACGGGGGCAACCUGGUGGCGAGUGGCGAACGGGUGAGUAAUGCAUCGGAACGUGCCAUUGAGUGGGGGAUAACGUAGCGAAAGUUGCGCUAAUACCGCAUAUUCUGUGAGCAGGAAAGCAGGGGACCGCAAGGCCUUGCGCUCUUUGAGCGGCCGAUGUCAGAUUAGCUAGUUGGUGAGGUAACGGCUUACCAAGGCGACGAUCUGUAGCGGGUCUGAGAGGAUGAUCCGCCACACUGGAACUGAGACACGGUCCAGACUCCUACGGGAGGCAGCAGUGGGGAAUUUUGGACAAUGGGCGCAAGCCUGAUCCAGCCAUGCCGCGUGAGUGAAGAAGGCCUUCGGGUUGUAAAGCUCUUUCGGCCGGGAAGAAAUCGCAUGGGUUAAUACCCUGUGUGGAUGACGGUACCGGAAUAAGAAGCACCGGCUAACUACGUG
rnacentral:rRNA from 1 species